UGCUUCCAUUCUAUCAGGGAACUCAUUACGUACACACAUGCACAUGCGGGUGUGCACAAAAAACAUGCAAGGUGAAUAGAAGGUAAUUUGCAAGGAUAGAAGGCGUUGGCCGUUGGGAGACCAGGCAAGUCCCUGGAAGAGAGGCUACUCAUGAGCGCCGAAAAAAGCCAGGAAUUCUGAGAGGCAGAGAGAGGUGAACCGGGAGUGCACUCCAGGCCUGGAGGAGAGUGAAGACUGAACAUUGUGUGUGAAGAAUAACAAGCAGCCAGCUUGGCUGGAAUGUGGACUGGGUGAAGUAUGCCAAAGAAGAUGAGAUUUUACACCUCUGCCUUGGUUGUUUUUUUCGAGCUGUAGAUACCUCCAUCCCUGGAGCCUCCUCUUCUGAAUGGUGAGUUCCUGCCUGGAAGCUCCAUUUAAAGAUGUGACCAAUUUAGCCAU
ensembl:lncRNA